rnacentral:rRNA from 1 species
UNNCGGCGUNCCUAAUACAUGCAAGUCGAGCGAGCUUGCCUAUAGAAGUUCUUCGGAAUGGACAUAGAUACAAGCUAGCGGCGGAUGGGUGAGUAACGCGUGGGUAACCUGCCCUUAAGUCUGGGAUACCAUUUGGAAACAGAUGCUAAUACCGGAUAAAAGCUACUUUCGCAUGAAAGAAGUUUAAAAGGCGGCGUAAGCUGUCGCUAAAGGAUGGACCUGCGAUGCAUUAGCUAGUUGGUAAGGUAACGGCUUACCAAGGCGAUGAUGCAUAGCCGAGUUGAGAGACUGAUCGGCCACAUUGGGACUGAGACACGGCCCAAACUCCUACGGGAGGCAGCAGUAGGGAAUCUUCCACAAUGGACGAAAGUCUGAUGGAGCAACGCCGCGUGAGUGAAGAAGGUUUUCGGAUCGUAAAGCUCUGUUGUUGGUGAAGAAGGAUAGAGGUAGUAACUGGCCUUUAUUUGACGGUAAUCAACCAGAAAGUCACGGCUAACUACGUGCCAGCAGCCGC